UGAAUCAUCAGACUGGAUCUCUGACCAUCAACAACACGAGAAGUCACAGACUCUGGAGUUUAUAAAUCUAUGAGAUCAAUGGGACCUCAACUGUGACAUUCAGUGUUACUGUCUAUGUGUUUGGAGCUGAUGGAGAUGGAGUGAAGAGAGAGUCAGUGAUGGAGGGAGAUUCUGUCACUCCUAGGACACUGGUUUAAGAGAGAACGAUUUAAUCUAAUAAAGUGGAGGUUUGGAGGAUUCAGGCUCAAUCAUUGCUGAAACUGAUAGUAAUAAGAUCUCAUAUCCCCUCAAUGACACCGAGAGAUUCAAAGACAGACUGAAGAUGAACAAUCAGACUGGAUCUCUGAUCAUCAACAACACGAGGAUCACAGACUCUGGAGUUUAUCAUCUACGGAUCGAUCACAACGAUGGGACUGCAACUGUGAGAUUCAAUGUUACUGUCUGUGGAUCAUGUGUUACAGAAUCAUCUGUUACAGUUCCAGGUCUGUCUCCAUGUGCUGUAACAGGAAUAGUUCUUGCCGUUCUGCUGGUGUUUGCUGUUGUUGCUCUUGCUGUUGCUCUUGGCUGUGUUUUUUACUAUCGUCAUAAGAUCUUUAAACAAGAAAGGCAACACCAUUCCACUGGAAACUGACUGAAUGAAUCAACAACUAUAGUGAUGCCACUGUUGAAUGAAGAAGUUCCUGAUGGGGUGAAUGUGCAGCAGGAGAUGACUUCAGUUUGAUAAGACACGCCCAUUAGUGUCAAUCACUCUGACAUCAUCAACAACCAGUGCUGAUUAUAAGCAGAAAUGCAUUUGUUUUGCACUAUUUAAUAUUUCAGAGUUUUUAAUCAAAGAAAAAAUGUUUUGUUUCUUGCCUUCAGAGAUUUUGGAAAAUAUGCCACUCUCCACAAGAGAUUAUUUUAUGGCAUAUUUUGGCACUUUUUUAGUCUCAUAUCAGCAACUGCCUAUUAUUGGAUUGGGAUGAUGUUAUCCGAAAUCUGAAUUGAAUUAUUUUUGAUCGAAUGUAUUUAAGUAGUACUUACAGUAAUGUGCUUUUAUAUAUUCAAGGUUCUCCACCUUCUUGAAAAUACUUGAAUUUCAGACUCAAAGGCCUGGAAAGUCUGUGAAGACAAACACAGGUCUUUGAAAGUGCUUGAAUUAAACUUGAACUCAAUUUUGUUAGAGCAGCACGGUGCUAUUGGCCUUUAAAAAUUGGCCUUUAUCUGCUGUGAAAGCCAGAAUGAAAUUCUUGAUUAUUUUAUCUUCAUUAUUUUGUGUAAAGGGAAAAACCGCUGAACUUCUACAGAGUAGUAAUGUGAUUCGCGCUGCACUGUUUUAACUGGUCAGCGCUGUUGAGAUUAUUUGGCUCGGUCCACUUUUGGUGUGAAUGGCUUCCCCGUGGCAGCCCGUGUCCUUGUUAAAAAUUGCUUAUUUCUCUAGAUUUUAACAUUCUUGGAAACAUUUAGAUAAUGUAAGCACAUAAGUCAACAAAAUAUAUAACACCGUUCUAGUGGUUUGUGAUAUUUUAAUCCAAAAAUCAUACAUAUUGUGCCUUUAAUAAGUGCAGCACUGCUUUGUUUACAGAAGUAACAGGGGAAACCUAUAUAUUCCUGCUGUUCCAUAAGCGCCAUCUACUGUUAGAGAUUAAAAUUGCAUUUUCAUUCAGAGCGUCAGACCAAUGCGCAGAUCAAUAUCAUAUUUUCACACAGAUUACACGCUGCUUUGUAAAUGUUAAUCAAUGGUUGAUAAGAAGCUAACGUAGAAAUAGUAAGAUAGCUAGAAUAUUAUAUAUAAUCAUAUUUUAAAUGAAUAUGUAUAAUCAUUUAUCAUUUUGACUCAUCCAUUUUCUUAAAAAUAGUUUAAAGGCUGAAAUGUAAUUUUUAUAAAUUACUUUAAUAUACAUUUGUAUAAAAAUCUUUUUGCUCAAAACAUUAUUUGAACUGUUGUUGAAAUCGUCAUUUUAUGGUUAGGAUGUUACAAUAAACACUAAUUAUUUGUGCAGGUGUUAAAGUCUUAAAAGCCUUAAAAUUGCAGAUAUCCUGUACAGGUGGGUAACAAUAUUUUUAAUGCCAACAAUUACCUUAUCCAUAUUUAAUUUAAUUGCAAAAUUCAUGUAUGUAAUAUUCGCUCUAUAUUUUAAUGUUUUAAAUCAAGCUAAUGAUUCAUAUAAAAAGACAAAAACUAAUGUGAAAUAAAUAUUAAAAGCAGGAAUAAGAAAUCUCUGGUUCAAACCCAUCUCUCUCACACACACACUGUACCAACCCUCUCAUGGAUUUUAAAAAGGACAUAUGCUCCUUAAAUUUGAUUUUUGUUGUCAGUAUAUGCCUUAACAUUGCUGUAGUAAUAAUAGACACAGGUACUGUAUGUGUUUGAUGCUGUCCAGAUUGGCAGUAACAAACCCACCUUUACUGUGCUUGAUAUAAUAUAAAAGGUGCUUUAAAAAGCCCUUGAAUCAGGUGUAAAUGAAAGAGUGGGAACCCUGUAUAUUGCAUUAUGUCAAAUGUACUGUUUGUAUUGUUCUCAUUCGUAUUAAAGCAUUUGUUAAAUGAAUAAAUGUUCAUGUAAGAUAAUGUCAUCCAUCAUGAAUCAUGUCUGUCCUCUCGUGUGCAGAACUGACUCAGUUGCUCACUGUUUCACAAAAUAUAAAUAAAUAUACA